rnacentral:rRNA from 1 species
GACGAACGCUGGCGGCGUGCCUAAUACAUGCAAGUCGAACGAACCGCGACUAGGUGCUUGCACUUGGUCAAGGUGAGUGGCGAACGGGUGAGUAACACGUGGGUAACCUACCUCAUAGUGGGGGAUAACAGUCGGAAACGACUGCUAAUACCGCAUAGGACAUAGGAUCACAUGAUCCAGUGAGGAAAGGUGGCGCAAGCUAUCGCUAAGAGAUGGACCCGCGGUGCAUUAGCUAGUUGGUAGGGUAAAGGCCUACCAAGGCGAUGAUGCGUAGCCGACCUGAGAGGGUGAUCGGCCACAUUGGGACUGAGACACGGCCCAAACUCCUACGGGAGGCAGCAGUAGGGAAUCUUCCGCAAUGGACGCAAGUCUGACGGAGCAACGCCGCGUGAGUGAAGAAGGUCUUCGGAUCGUAAAGCUCUGUUGUUAGAGAAGAACAGCGCAUAGAGUAACUGUUAUGCGUGUGACGGUAUCUAACCAGAAAGCCACGGCUAACUACGUG